UGUUGCUCCGCAUCACAAAAGAUGGCUUUCGGAUCCAGUUCGCUCUGGAUCCAAUUUUGACCCGACCCAAACCCAUUUCCUGACCAGUUAGCUCCCACUCCUGUAUCUUUUCGCUCGCCCCCAAAUCUAGCCCUAAAAUCUAAGCAGCAGAAGCGGCGACGACUUCUCCGGCGACAGAUUCCGUUUCCUCCGGCGAAAUCCAGCGAAUUUUCCGGAGACAAGUCUAGAUUCCUCCGCAUCGUCAGAGCGGGACCCGGGGAAGCAGAUGAAAUUGAAUAGAGCAUGCAAAAUGCAUGCUUAGUUUAACAUCUAAUUCUAUGAAGUGCAACAUGUCAUGAAUUAAGCCCUACAACCAAUUUUGCUGCUGAUACAGGACAAAGGAGGAAGAGGACUAGUAUCCUCCCUCCUCCCUCCUACACAAGUGUGGCUAGCAUCUGGCUAUUUGAGGCUUCAGUUUCUUGGGAAGUGCCUAGCAUAGAAAUCCUAUCAUGAAAAAGAAGUGUAAUAGCGUGGGCCAGAUAUUUGAGCAUAUGCUCCAGGAGCUUGGUGACCACCCUGUGGAAUUCCAGUUGCCCGACUGGCUGAAGAAGGAUAAGUCCAUGAUGUAUACCAAUAUCAAGCGCAGUAUCCUGACGUUCAUUUUAUCUCGAUACUCCUGUUUAAUUAAUUAGUUACCUAGUUAAUGUUUUUUAAUAUAUCUUGAUCUGUGUCUUCAUAUUAUAUCACAGACUAGCAAUGAGUGCAAUUUGUAGUGGCAAAACCUGUCCUCUUUGUCCUUGUUUUUUUUUUCCAUACUCAUGAUGAAUAGCAAGAAAUUCUUGUCAUCUUUUCUUGCAUUCAAAUUCUUUAUUAGAUUGGAGAAUUCUCAGGAUAAGCACUAAUGAAAUGAUAACAAUUUGUGUAAUUAUGACAUCCAGUCCCUUGCCUUCGGUGGCCAUUAACAGAGGAUCACAGGGAAAAAAUAUUUACUCGGGAUAUUCUGUGGUGAUUUGGUCAUUCAUUCUACUGUUUUAAUUCACUACUGCAAUGCCAUGUUUGAUUAUCAUCAUUACAUCAAUUCAUGAGUGGUCAACACCACACUCACAU